CCAGACUCCUACGGGAGGCAGCAGUGAGGAAUAUUGGUCAAUGGGCGGGAGCCUGAACCAGCCAAGUCGCGUGAGGGAAGACGGCCCUACGGGUUGUAAACCUCUUUUGUCAGGGAGCAAGGUGCAGGUCGGGACCUGCUGUGAGAGUACCUGAAGAAAAAGCAUCGGCUAACUCCGUGCCAGCAGCCGCGGUAAUACGGAGGAUGCGAGCGUUAUCCGGAUUUAUUGGGUUUAAAGGGUGCGUAGGCGGAUUUUUAAGUCAGCGGUAAAAUGUCCGGGCUCAACCCGGGCCGGCCGUUGAAACUGGGGAUCUUGAGUGGGCGAGAAGUAUGCGGAAUGCGUGGUGUAGCGGUGAAAUGCAUAGAUAUCACGCAGAACUCCGAUUGCGAAGGCAGCAUACCGGCGCCCGACUGACGCUGAGGCACGAAAGUGUGGGUAUCGAACAGGAUUAGAUACCCUAGUA
rnacentral:rRNA from 1 species